rnacentral:rRNA from 1 species
GAGUUUGAUUCUGGCUCAGGAUGAACGCUAGCGGCAGGCCUAACACAUGCAAGUCGAGGGGUAGAGCUACUUUAGUAGUUUGAGACCGGCGCACGGGUGCGUAACGCGUAUGCAAUCUACCUUAUACAGAGGGAUAGCCCAGAGAAAUUUGGAUUAAUACCUCAUAGUAUAUUUGAGUGGCAUCAUUUAGAUAUUAAAGAUUUAUCGGUAUAAGAUGAGCAUGCGUCCCAUUAGUUAGUUGGUGUGGUAACGGCAUACCAAGACGAUGAUGGGUAGGGGUCCUGAGAGGGAGAUCCCCCACACUGGUACUGAGACACGGACCAGACUCCUACGGGAGGCAGCAGUGAGGAAUAUUGGUCAAUGGAGGCAACUCUGAACCAGCCAUGCCGCGUGCAGGAAGAAUGUCCUAUGGAUUGUAAACUGCUUUUGUACGGGAAGAGAACGUGCUAUGUAUAGCAAACUGA